GGGGUGCGAUUCACUAAGAAAAAACAUCUUUACAACCAAGAAAUCAUCGUUGUAACAUCAGAUGUAAACUCGGCGGUAUUCAUUAGUUAAAAUUGUGCGAUCGUAGCGCCUCAACGAUGUUGACGGCGUGACAUAGAACUAACAUUUGGUGCCAAAUGUAUGAAAAUCGGUAUUCAGCAACACGAAACAUCCUCGCCUGCAACGACAACCUCGCCUUCGCCCUCGAUUUUAUCUGUCAAACCGAAAAGCUUGUAAAUUGUGGAUGUUUUCUUGGAUGAAGGCGAUUAAAAUAUGGCAGUUCGUCUUUCCUGUACUUAUGAUUUUUUUGUUGGAAGAAACUAAACAUCAAGAUAAUUAAAUAAAUAAAAAGUCACGCCUCCGUGAUACGUAAUAUGGAUUUACUAACUACUGAUAAAAACUAUAUUAAGGUUGACUGAAGAACAGAUUAGACAGUUGAAAGAAGAUUUCUCCUUUCCUUACAAAGGCGAAUCGUUAAGGAGGAAUUAGCAACCACAUCAAUAUUUACACUUAAACAAUAUAAUAUAAAUCAUCAUACAGUACAGUGGAUAGGUGCCUAAAACUUACUGGCCAUCAACCUUUUGUAUGUACUGUAAAUUUUUUGGUUAGUGGGAUUUAUGUACCAAAUAAUGCUAUGUGACAUUGCAAGAACAAUAUCACACGGGCAUCUGCCUCAAGGACUCAACAAUAUACAGUAGAUGCCAUCAACCAUCCAGAUAUUAUUGAUAAGUACGAGGUAAGAAGCGACUGUGACCCGGUUAACAAGCAAGCCGGACUCUAGCAGUGACUUGGACAGUGGACGUCAUGCUAGAAGUUAUUUAAUAAACAAUAAUAUGUGUGACACCUUCUAACAAUACAUAUGUAUUUUAUUACCUGUUACUGUUACAGCCUCUUUUUUAUCGUCCCACUGCUGGGCACAGGCCAACUCUCACAUGGUUUGAGCAUUGAGCACCACACUUGCUCAAUGCGGGUUGGUGAUUUCAGACUGUAUAGUCCAGGUUUCAAGAUGUUUUCCUUCACCUUUUUAUCAGCCAGUGGCGUCCAAGAUAUACUUGUACAUAAAAACUUAGAAAAGUUGCAUUAUUUUACUGUAUUUUACCUGUGUAUGUUAAAUAGUAUUUUAACAUUACACAAUAGUGUGCAGGUAUCAAAGUAAUUUUUAUAAAAAUACUUUACUUUUCUGUAAUCAUUAAUUAAUAAAACAAUAUUUUAAUUCAA
rnacentral:lncRNA from 1 species